AAUUUAUUGUAGAUCAUAUAUGGGUUUUACAAUUCAUUGGCAGAACCCAAUUACAUUGGAACGUAAUUCCUGUGCACUUGCUUGUAGACAUAUGUUAGGGAGGCAUACAUACAAUAAUAUAGCAGAAAUAAUGAAAACAUUUUUACAGAAUUUGAUAUACAGUCUAAAACCACUCUAAUUGUCACAGAUAACACAGCAAAUUUCGUAAAAGCUUUCAAGUAAGAUAUAUAUUUUAAAAUUGCCUAUUUGUAUUAAUUAUGAAUGUUAUGAUUUAUAAUAAUGUAUUUUAACGAAUUCAUUAAGCAAUGAUCGUACACCAUCAUUUUAAAUUUACAAUAUAUACAGUUUUGAUACUCAGAUUUUAUUUUAUCUUUUUCAACAGUAUAAAAAAUAGUAAAAUUAAUUAAUCCCUAACCGGUCCGGUCUCUGGUGUACGACCAUAGUUUGUUUUUACUUUUUAU